UAACCUGCCCAAGAGACUGGGAUAACACCUGGAAACAGAUGCUAAUACCGGAUAACAACACUAGACGCAUGUCUAGAGUUUAAAAGAUGGUUCUGCUAUCACUCUUGGAUGGACCUGCGGUGCAUUAGCUAGUUGGUAAGGCAACGGCUUACCAAGGCAAUGAUGCAUAGCCGAGUUGAGAGACUGAUCGGCCACAUUGGGACUGAGACACGGCCCAAACUCCUACGGGAGGCAGCAGC
rnacentral:rRNA from 1 species